rnacentral:rRNA from 1 species
GGUUAAGCGACUAAGCGUACACGGUGGAUGCCCUGGCAGUCAGAGGCGAUGAAGGACGUGCUAAUCUGCGAAAAGCGUCGGUAAGGUGAUAUGAACCGUUACAGCCGGCGAUGUCCGAAUGGGGAAACCCAGUGCAAUUCGUUGCACUAUCGUUAACUGAAUACAUAGGUUAACGAGGCGAACCGGGGGAACUGAAACAUCUAAGUACCCCGAGGAAAAGAAAUCAACCGAGAUUCCCCCAGUAGCGGCGAGCGAACGGGGAGCAGCCCAGAGUCUGAAUCAGCUUGUGUGUUAGUGGAACGGUCUGGAAAGUCCGACGGUACAGGGUGAUAGUCCCGUACACCAAAAUGCACAGGUUGUGAACUCGAAGAGUAGGGCGGGACACGUGGUAUCCUGUCUGAAUAUGGGGGGACCAUCCUCCAAGGCUAAAUACUCCUGACUGACCGAUAGUGAACCAGUACCGUGAGGGAAAGGCGAAAAGAACCCCGGCGAGGGGAGUGAAAAAGAACCUGAAACCGUGUACGUACAAGCAGUGGGAGCACCUUCGGGUGUGACUGCGUACCUUUUGUAUAAUGGGUCAGCGACUUAUAUUCUGUAGCAAGGUUAACCGUAUAGGGGAGCCGCAGGGAAACCGAGUCUUAACUGGGCGUUAAGUUGCAGGGUAUAGACCCGAAACCCGGUGAUCUAGCCAUGGGCAGGUUGAAGGUUGGGUAACACUAACUGGAGGACCGAACCGACUAAUGUUGAAAAAUUAGCGGAUGACUUGUGGCUGGGGGUGAAAGGCCAAUCAAACCGGGAGAUAGCUGGUUCUCCCCGAAAGCUAUUUAGGUAGCGCCUCGUGAAUUCAUCUUCGGGGGUAGAGCACUGUUUCGGCUAGGGGGUCAUCCCGACUUACCAACCCGAUGCAAACUACGAAUACCGAAGAAUGUUAUCACGGGAGACACACGGCGGGUGCUAACGUCCGUCGUGAAGAGGGAAACAACCCAGACCGCCAGCUAAGGUCCCAAAGUCACAGUUAAGUGGGAAACGAUGUGGGAAGGCACAGACAGCCAGGAUGUUGGCUUAGAAGCAGCCAUCAUUUAAAGAAAGCGUAAUAGCUCACUGGUCGAGUCGGCCUGCGCGGAAGAUGUAACGGGGCUAAACUGUGCACCGAAGCUGCGGCAGCGACACUAUGUGUUGUUGGGUAGGGGAGCGUUCUGUAAGCCUGCGAAGGUGGCCUGUGAGGGUUGCUGGAGGUAUCAGAAGUGCGAAUGCUGACAUAAGUAACGAUAAUGCGGGUGAAAAGCCCGCACGCCGGAAGACCAAGGGUUCCUGUCCAACGUUAAUCGGGGCAGGGUGAGUCGACCCCUAAGGCGAGGCCGAAAGGCGUAGUCGAUGGGAAACAGGUUAAUAUUCCUGUACUUGGUGUUACUGCGAAGGGGGGACGGAGAAGGCUAUGUUAGCCGGGCGACGGUUGUCCCGGUUUAAGCAUGUAGGCGGAGGUUCCAGGUAAAUCCGGUACCUUUUUAACGCUGAGGUGUGAUGACGAGGCACUACGGUGCUGAAGUAACAAAUGCCCUGCUUCCAGGAAAAGCCUCUAAGCAUCAGGUAACAUUGAAUCGUACCCCAAACCGACACAGGUGGUCAGGUAGAGAAUACCAAGGCGCUUGAGAGAACUCGGGUGAAGGAACUAGGCAAAAUGGUGCCGUAACUUCGGGAGAAGGCACGCUGAUAUGUAGGUGAAGCCCCUGCGGGUGGAGCUGAAAUCAGUCGAAGAUACCAGCUGGCUGCAACUGUUUAUUAAAAACACAGCACUGUGCAAACACGAAAGUGGACGUAUACGGUGUGACGCCUGCCCGGUGCCGGAAGGUUAAUUGAUGGGGUUAUCCGUAAGGAGAAGCUCUUGAUCGAAGCCCCGGUAAACGGCGGCCGUAACUAUAACGGUCCUAAGGUAGCGAAAUUCCUUGUCGGGUAAGUUCCGACCUGCACGAAUGGCGUAAUGAUGGCCAGGCUGUCUCCACCCGAGACUCAGUGAAAUUGAACUCGCUGUGAAGAUGCAGUGUACCCGCGGCAAGACGGAAAGACCCCGUGAACCUUUACUAUAGCUUGACACUGAACAUUGAGCCUUGAUGUGUAGGAUAGGUGGGAGGCUUUGAAGCGUGGACGCCAGUCUGCGUGGAGCCAACCUUGAAAUACCACCCUUUAAUGUUUGAUGUUCUAACGUUGGCCCCUUAUCGGGGUUGCGGACAGUGUCUGGUGGGUAGUUUGACUGGGGCGGUCUCCUCCCAAAGAGUAACGGAGGAGCACGAAGGUUAGCUAAUCCUGGUCGGACAUCAGGAGGUUAGUGCAAUGGCAUAAGCUAGCUUGACUGCGAGCGUGACGGCGCGAGCAGGUGCGAAAGCAGGUCAUAGUGAUCCGGUGGUUCUGAAUGGAAGGGCCAUCGCUCAACGGAUAAAAGGUACUCCGGGGAUAACAGGCUGAUACCGCCCAAGAGUUCAUAUCGACGGCGGUGUUUGGCACCUCGAUGUCGGCUCAUCACAUCCUGGGGCUGAAGUAGGUCCCAAGGGUAUGGCUGUUCGCCAUUUAAAGUGGUACGCGAGCUGGGUUUAGAACGUCGUGAGACAGUUCGGUCCCUAUCUGCCGUGGGCGCUGGAGAAUUGAGGGGGGCUGCUCCUAGUACGAGAGGACCGGAGUGGACGCAUCACUGGUGUUCGGGUUGUCAUGCCAAUGGCAUUGCCCGGUAGCUAAAUGCGGAAGAGAUAAGUGCUGAAAGCAUCUAAGCACGAAACUUGCCCCGAGAUGAGUUCUCCCUGACUCCUUGAGAGUCCUGAAGGAACGUUAAAGACGAUGACGUUGAUAGGUCGGGUGUGUAAGCGUAGCGAUACGUUGAGCUAACCGAUACUAAUGAACCGUGAGGCUUAACCUU